rnacentral:rRNA from 1 species
GCAGUCGAACGAUGAUCCAGGAGCUUGCUCUUGGGGAUUAGUGGCGAACGGGUGAGUAACACGUGAGCAAUCUGCCCUUCACUCUGGGAUAACCUCCGGAAACGGAAGCUAAUACCGGAUAUGACGCACGGAGGCAUCUCCUGUGCGUGGAAAGAACUUCGGUGAAGGAUGAGCUCGCGGCCUAUCAGGUAGUUGGUGAGGUAACGGCCCACCAAGCCUACGACGGGUAGCCGGCCUGAGAGGGUGACCGGCCACACUGGGACUGAGACACGGCCCAGACUCCUACGGGAGGCAGCAGUGGGGAAUAUUGCACAAUGGGCGCAAGCCUGAUGCAGCAACGCCGCGUGAGGGACGACGGCCUUCGGGUUGUAAACCUCUUUUAGUAGGGAAGAAGCGAAAGUGACGGUACCUGCAGAAAAAGCACCGGCUAACUACGUGCCAGCAGCCGCGGUAAUACGUAGGGUGCAAGCGUUGUCCGGAAUUAUUGGGCGUAAAGAGCUCGUAGGCGGUUUGUCGCGUCUGCUGUGAAAACCCGAGGCUCAACCUCGGGCCUGCAGUGGGUACGGGCAGACUAGAGUGCGGUAGGGGAGAAUGGAAUUCCUGGUGUAGCGGUGGAAUGCGCAGAUAUCAGGAGGAACACCGAUGGCGAAGGCAGUUCUCUGGGCCGUAACUGACGCUGAGGAGCGAAAGCGUGGGGAGCGAACAGGAUUAGAUACCCUGGUAGUCCACGCCGUAAACGUUGGGCGCUAGAUGUGGGGACCAUUCCACGGUUUCCGUGUCGCAGCUAACGCAUUAAGCGCCCCGCCUGGGGAGUACGGCCGCAAGGCUAA